GGUCCUGUUUAGCUAAUUUGGUAGAGCAUGGCAUUAAUACUGCCCAGGUUUGGGGUUCAAUUCCCACUGGGCCACCA